rfam:TPA: Bos taurus chromosome 20, whole genome shotgun sequence.
UCCCUUGUAGCCAAAUCAGUAAAGAAUCUGCCUGCAAUGCAGGAGACCCAGGUUCAAUCCCUGGGUUGGGAA